rnacentral:miRNA from 1 species
CGCUGCAGCAGGGGGAGGAGGGGGGCGGGGAAGGGCGGAGAGGAGGAAGGAGGGGGGCGCUGGUGUGAAGGAUGGGAAUUUCCACCCAGCUGAAAUUAAUGAGCGCCUGUGGCUCGGCCUCAUUGUCUCCCACCCCCGCUUUCCCUUUCCUCU